GCACGGCUGAGAAUGCAGUCCUGGGCAUAUUCCACAUCCACAGUUCUCAGUGGACACAGGGUCUGAUGCCCGAGGCUCCAAGCCGUGCUCCAGGAAGUGUAUUUCAAGUUGAGCUCACGUUCCCAAGAUGCUGAGAUUCUUAUGUAGCUGACACCGGAGCUGAGGCUGAGCCCCAGCCAGGGAUAUCCAACGAUUGCCAGUAACACCACGGAACUGAGUGAAGAUUCAGGGGCUGAGUGUGUUCCUGAGUGCUUCAAACCGGGGGACCUGGAAACCAGAGGACUCCUGGGGAAAGGCUGUCAACUCCAGCCUGCUCUUCCUAAAUGGCCUUGUUAGUAGUGACUUCAGCCCUGGCGGUGAGGCAUGUGGGUCAGAAUAACAUUCCCUUUCUUUUCCCUUCACCUCUUUUUUCUCCACGGUUCCUUUUCAUAACUUCUUUAUUUGCUGCCUAGAGGAGCUUUCUGGACAUUUUGUCUCCAGGGAGCGUGACAUGUCACCUGUUUCUCACCUCAUAUGCCUCUGAUCUUCUACACCAAGGUAGCUAUAAAGGCUUGCUUUCUAGGCUGGGUUUCCCUGCACAGGCCCACUGAACCACUCAAACCUCAGAGGUGGAAGUGCCCAGCGGGCCUCAUGGUCAGCUGGGGAUAACGGAGUCAUUUUCGCAGCCCAACUUCUGAAAUUCCACAAGAGGGCGCCCAAGGUCUCCCAAGUCCGGCCACGCCCGGUGGCCUUGAGGCCGGAAGGUGGCGCUGUUGCUUUAGCCAUCAAGAAAGGCAAGGCUGGGGACGCCGCAUCCCCGGGUGCGGAGGGCGAUGCCUAGGGGCGAUGCUGUGCCUGUGGCGGCCAAACAGUGCCACCCACUCCGGGAAACAAAGCCAAGCGCCGGACGCUAGCUUCCUAGGUCUUCCACGUGUUCAACGGAAAUUCACAAAUUCUCUAGUAGCAGAAGCCAAGAACAAGUUCUCUGGAUCACAUAGGCUCCUCUGCUGCUUCCUCAGAAACAGAGAUGGUACUUGGUGCCGAAGAAAGAGACAGAGACUGGGAAGGAGAAGGAAGUCAGCAGAAAGAAGAAAGACGCACAGGAAAGAGAGAAGGGUAGCUAAAAGAAAGAGUCAGGGAGAUGGUUCCAGGAGAAGAAAAGAAAGUCAGUUGCUUUCUGAGAUCAGGUGGGAAGUUUAUCCUGUCAACUCCACCUUUAGAGUGCUAGUCUCUGGAGCCACAAGGACUGAAACUCUGCUUCAGAGACCCACCACUGAUGACAACCAUCAGGCUCAGGAACUGAAAAGAAAUGGUGCAAAUGUGGCCGAGGGACUUGGGUUUUACAUUUAUUGCCGAGUCUGGUUUUCUUGAGUUUCAGAUGAUAAAAUUGAAGCCCAGAGAAGCUUGGGAGCCUCAACUAUUAAUGGAAAAACCAUAACUAGAACUGAGUUUUCCUGAGACAUUUUUUACUAUUCAUUCCCCUGCUCUUGGGCCACUCCAGGGCACUGAGCACACUUGCUUUGGCUAUUUGGAGAAGAGGCCAAUAGACACAACUGGCUUCAUCUUCAGGGACACCCAAUAUCUGGCAGCCCUCAGCCCCAGCGGAGUCUUUAUUGAAAGAACUGAUUCAUAGACCAGGCGCGGUGGCUCACGCCUAUAAUCCCAACACUUUGGGAAGCUGAGGUGGGCGGAUCUCAGUCAGGAGAUCGAGACCAUCCUGGCUAACACGGUGAAACCCCAUCUCUACUAAAAAUACAAAAAUAAAAAAAAAAAAUAGCUGGGUGUGGUGGCAGGCGCCUGUAGUCCCAGCACUUUGGGAGGCCGAGGUGGGCAGAUCACAAGGUCAGGAGUUCAAGACCAGCCUGACCAACAUGGUGAAACCCCAUCUCUACUAAAAAAAUACAAAAAUUAGCUGGGUGUGGUGGUGCGCACCUGUAAUCCCAGCCACUCAGAAGGCUGAGGCAGGAGAAUUGCUUGAACCUAGGAGGGGAAGGUUGCAGUGAGCCGAGAUUGCGCCACUGCACUCCAGCCUGGUUGACAGAGCAAGACUCUGUCUCAAGAAAAAAAAAAAGAAAAAGAAAAAAAAAGAAAGAAAGAACUGAUUUAUGAAAAGAUUCUUAUCAUGAUUUUCAUUUUACUAGUCCAAAGAUCACUGAGUUAAACUGCCUAUUUUAGUAGAUGAACAAAAGUGCCUUGAAUAAAGACGUAAUUCAAUAAAAACUUA
ensembl:lncRNA LINC02551 long intergenic non-protein coding RNA 2551